ACCUGCAAGUCUGAACGGGGGAGCAUCCCUAGUGGCGAACGGCGGAGUAAUACAUGAGGAACGUGCCCUGAAGACUGGGAUAGUCGUUGGAAACGACGUUUAAUACCAGAUGUGGCGGAGGCUUGGCAUCAAGCUUCCACUAAACGGUUUUUCGCUUCAGGAGUGCCUCAUGGCCUAUCAGGUAGUUGGUGAGGUAAUGGCUCACCAAGCCGACGACGGGUAGCGGGUCUCAGAGGAUGAUCCGCUCGAGUGGGACUGAGACACGGCCACACACCUACGGGUGGCAGCAGUUGGGAAUCUUGCACAAUGGGGGAAACCCUGAUGCAGCGACGCCGCGUGGAGGAUGAAGGGUCUAGGCUCGUAAACUCCUUUUAUGGGGAAAGACUUAGGACGGUACCCCAUGAAUAAGGACCGGCUAACUACGUGCCAGCAGCCGCGGUAAUACGAAGGGGGCUAGCGUUGCUCGGAAUUACUGGGCGUAAAGGGCGCGUAGGCGGACAGUUUAGUCAGAGGUGAAAGCCCAGGGCUCAACCUUGGAACUGCCUUUGAUACUGGCUGUCUUGAGUUCGGGAGAGGUGCGUGGAACUCCGAGUGUAGAGGUGAAAUUCGUAGAUUUCGGAAGAACACCAGUG
rnacentral:rRNA from 1 species